rnacentral:rRNA from 1 species
AUGGGAGUGGUUGAACUUGUUUUAGUACCUGUACCAAACAAUAUGCUGCAGAUGAUUCGUUUUAAAAAAAAGGAACGUCUCGGAGAGCAAAUGAAGAAAGAACGCCAUCCUUUUGGCCUUGAAAAAAAAUUCUGUACUAACACUUUUUGCUCUUGUGUGAUGCAAAUACAUCACCAAGAAAAGAAAAUAAAAUUAAUCAACCAACAGAUUACGCAUCCUGGUUCUUUCAAUUAUGUACACUUUGAACAAUUUGGACAAAAAAAGAUCUCAAGCACACACGAACACACGCGUGGCAUCGUUGCUCACGCCCCUCUGUCCCUUCUCUGCCUCGGCGAGCCCCGGCUCUCGUUCCCUGCCGCCACCGAGCUCGCGUACUUCGGCGCCGCGCUCUCGGCGUGCACGGCCGAGCGCUGGCACUUCUUCCUGGCCGCGGCCGCCGAAGCGCUAGCGCCGCCGUCCUUGGCCUCCUCGCCGGCCUCCGCAGCCACAUCGGCCUUGUCCGCGACGGCCUUGGCCACCGGCGACGGCUCUGACGGCGCGGUGUAG